rnacentral:rRNA from 1 species
UACGGAGGGUGCAAGCGUUAAUCGGAAUACUGGGCGUAAAGCGCACGCAGGUGGCUGAGUCAGUCGAUUGUGAAAGCCCUGGGCUUAACCUGGGAAUUGCAGUCGAUACUACUCAGCUAGAGUAUGGGAGAGGGUAGUGGAAUUCCCGGUGUAGCGGUGAAAUGCGUAGAUAUCGGGAGGAACAUCAGUGGCGAAGGCGGCUACCUGGCCCAAUACUGACACUCAGGUGCGACAGCGUGGGGAGCAAACAGGG